UUUAUAUAUAAGGCAAAAGAAGACUCCAGAAUUAUGCACUUUGCCGCAGACUCAGAGCUUGGAUACUGAUCUAUCUGAAUUUAAAGCUUAUAGUCAGAGUCAGCUGCCAGUUUUGAGUUAUGUCUCCCUUAAAGAAAAACAUUUGUCAACCACCUACCAGGAUGUGGUCAGGGAAAUUUUAUAAACAGUCUUCAUCAGGAGUGAUUUCUUGCUUGUCUUUUCAGUCUCUACUACAUUGUUAUUGUAGAAGAUGUUCUGGUGAUCCUUGAAGAACCUUCCUCUCUUUUCAUGACAAGGACUCAAAUUCCCCCAGCUUCCAGGACUAUAGUCUGCUGAUGACUCAUAACUGAGUCUCUCCCGGGAAUUGGCCUUCUGCAGAAGGGAGUUCCAUCACCCAAGGUUACAUCUCCCUGCACAGAUGCACAGGAGGAAUGGUGGAGAUUACUUGCCAAAGCAGGGUUCCCAAACCCUGGACCAUGGACCCAUGCCAAUCUGUGGCCUGUUAGGAACAGACCCGCACAGCAGAAGGUGAGCAGAGGUAUACUCUAAAGUGACCUGGGACACUCAAAUAUAUUGCAAAACAUCACGUGUCUACUAUAUUAAAGGCAUCAUGAUACUGGGACCAAACUUGCAAUAAGUAAAAAAUUUUUGAAGACUCUUGCACUUCCAAAGGUAAGCAAACGAUGUCUUAGAACAGCAGUCCAUGAUCUUUUUGGCAUCAGGAACCAGUUUCAUGGAAGAUAAUUUUUCCACUAAUGGGUUAGGUGGCAUGGUUUUGGAAUGAUUUAAGCACAUUUCGUUUAUUAUGCACUUUAGUUCUGUUAUUAUUGCAUUACAAUAAAUAAUGAAAUAAUUAUACAACUCGCCAUUAUGUAGAAUUGGUAGAAGCCCUGAGCUUGUUUUCCU
rnacentral:lncRNA from 1 species